GCCUGGCUAGCUCAGUCGAAAUGAGCAUGAGACUCUUAAUCUCAGGGUCGGGGGUUCGAGCCCCCCGUUGGGCG
rnacentral:tRNA from 1 species